AGUGGGAUUGCUGGGUCAUAUGGUAAGUAUAUGUUUAACUUUAUAAGAAACUUCCAAACUGUUUUCUAAAGUGGCUAUACCAUUUUACAUUCCCACCAGCAAU
rnacentral:pre_miRNA from 1 species